rnacentral:rRNA from 1 species
GAUGAACGCUAGCUACAGGCUUAACACAUGCAAGUCGAGGGGCAGCAUGAACAAAGCUUGCUUUGUUUGAUGGCGACCGGCGCACGGGUGCGUAACACGUAUCCAAUCUGCCCGCGGCUCGGGGAUAGCCCAUCGAAAGAUGGAUUAAUACCCGAUGGCGUGGUUUCUCCGCAUGGAGUUUCCACUAAAGGUUUUCCGGCCGCGGAUGAGGAUGCGUAUGAUUAGGUAGUAGGCGGGGUAACGGCCCACCUAGCCUUCGAUCAUUAGGGGUUCUGAGAGGAAGGUCCCCCACACUGGGACUGAGACACGUUCCAGACUCCUACGGGAGGCAGCAGUGAGGAAUAUUGGUCAAUGUGCGAGAGCCUGAACCAGCCAAGUAGCGUGAAGGAAGACUGCCCUAUGGGUUGUAAACUUCUUUUGUUCGGGAAUAAAGUGCAGUACGCGUACUGUUUUGUAUGUACCGUUCGAAUAAGCAUCGGCUAAUUCCGUGCCAGCCGCCGCAGUAACAC